rnacentral:rRNA from 1 species
GACGAACGCUGGCGGCGGGCUUAACACAUGCAAGUCGAACGGAAAGGCCCUGCUUUUGUGGGGUGCUCGAGUGGCGAACGGGUGAGUAACACGUGAGUAACCUGCCCUUGACUUUGGGGUAACUUCAGGAAACUGGGGCUAAUACCGGAUAGGAGCUCCUGCUGCAUGGUGGGGGUUGGAAAGUUUCGGCGGUUGGGGAUGGACUCGCGGCUUAUCAGCUUGUUGGUGGGGUAGUGGCUUACCAAGGCUUUGACGGGUAGCCGGCCUGAGAGGGUGACCGGCCACAUUGGGACUGCGAUACGGCCCAGACUCCUACGGGAGGCAGCAGUGGGGAAUAUUGCCCAAUGGGCGGAAGCCUGAUGCAGCAACGCCGCGUGCGGGAUGACGGCCUUCGGGUUGUAAACCGCUUUAGCCUGUGACGAAGCGUGAGUGACGGUAAUGGGUAAAGAAGCACCGGCUAACUACGUG